AUAGAAGAGAGAGGUUCACAGAAGUCUGACAUGGCUUCACAGUAGAUAGCAGAGUCCACACCAAGGUGCGUCUGCCUAAACUUUGAAAGUUUCCCCUCUAAAUUCUCACCACAACACUACUUAUUGCAAGGUGGUUUCCAGUGUCUUAGGGCUAACCAUCAGGGGAGAGGAGUUCAAGAUGUCUUACAAUCCUCCCUGCUUUGCCUUAACUAAAGGAGAAAAAAAAAAAAAACAUAAAAUAAGCCAUAUGUACAAGUCAAGGCAUAUAAACUGACAAUUGACUAUUAGAAAGGUUAAUAAAAACAAAGACACAAUAUGCCUCACAAAUAAACAUGUGGAAGAACCGUUUUCUAAAAAUAAAAUAAAUGUUUUAUUUGGAAAAAGUCAGCUUCUUACACAAGGUUGUAAAUCUGUAUUCACCCUGUCAAUUACAAUGGUAUUUUAAAUGCAUCGAUCCAAUUCAGUGUCAUAUGUCUUAUUUUUUCUGCCUCUAUUCAGAAAACAUCAGGUUUAAAAAAAAAAAACCCACUGUAAUUCCAAUCUGGUCCAUCUUUCCUCCUAUCCAUAUAUUAAACCCAUUUUUCUACAUGUCAGGUAAGUGAAAGGGUCGUGAAAGUUAAGAUGUGGAGGUAAGACUGCGUCAAAUAAUCGUAAGCAUGAUAGAAGUUCCCCUGUAAGUCUGGUGUGUGUGGCGGGAGGUGGGUACUUACUGAAAGUCUGCAAACUUCCACCCUAUUUUAUCUUUAUUGGCUUCCCUGAGGCCAAACACUGACCCUCUCGGUUUUGCAAAUACUGAAAACAAUGUAAAAAACAAAGAGCGCAUACAUUCACCCUGUACUGGAUAUCUCACAUACAGCUCUAAACUAUCAGUAAAUAAAUGAGCUAUCAAAAAUCAGAGAAAAGGUCUCAGGGACUAGGAGGACUCCAGGGUGCCUGUGGGUUGUGGCUCGGCCGUACAGCAUGUACUUCGCAUGCUCAUGGCCCUGGGUCAAUCCUAAGAACCAAGACCUCACUCACAGCCCCUCAAACCCACACAUACCCAGAGUAUCACACCAUAACUAAGGUUUUGGGACAACCUACGCUGAAUUCAGCUGAUGCUUGAAAUACUGUUUACAUUAAAUCAGACGUGUUAAGGAAUUGUUUUGUAGAUUUUAAUACUAACUUUUUGCAUUUGAUUUCAAAAAUGGCCAAUUACUUCUAACCACACAGUGUCUCUGAAUAGGAGCAAAGGUAUCAAUUCAGUGGCAACACCUUAGCACUAGACUGUAGUGAGCAUUCCAGAAGAGGUGCCCAGCAGGUGACAGGCUGUGGCUGGAACUGCCAAGAUCCAGAAUUUUAUGCUUCAAAUUUCUCAAAUAUAUACCUAGCAGCAGAUGUACCAGGCAACUAUAAUGCUAGAAAAAUACUUUAGUCAGUAUUUUAUAAACCUGUGACCUUUAAGCAGUAUUUCUAUUCAUAAAUGUUCCGGUAACAAUGUCUGUCUGACAAAGCAUUACAACAACAACAAAACAAGAUUAAGGUUAGUUACCUCAAGCAAGCUAGUUGUUAUUUUUCCUCUUAAAAUG
rnacentral:lncRNA from 1 species